GCAAAUGGACAUGAGACAGCAAACACAACUUGCAACAGGGGAAAUUAUGACCAGAUAUUAGGAAAGAAAUAUUCACGGUGGGGGCAGUCCAGCACUGUAACAGGGCACAAGAAAGUUGUGGGCUCUCCAUCUUUGGAGAUAGUCACAACUCAGCUGGACAAGAUCCUGAGCAACCAUCAGGAAUAGAUGGUUGGUUUAAUGGAUGAUUAAAUGGAACUACUUUAGAGAGGAGGUCAGAAAAGGCAACUUACAUAGAUCCCUUCCAACCUCAACUAUUCUGUGGCUCUAUGAAAUACAAGCUCGCAUUAGUCAGGCCUCCACCCAACUCUGAGAAAGGAAUGUAGCACAAUCUGCAAUGUUAAUGCUGAUCUGCUAAUAUUUCCCGGGCUGAAGGGAAGAGAAACCAUACCAUAUCAUUUCACAAAAUGUGGUCAGGUCAAAUCCAGAAUGAAUAAGUAAAAGUCAGGGCUAUUCCUUGUAUUAUCACAAUAAUGGUUUGUCCAGUUUGGUAAUUAGUCUACUUCCACCAAAUAGUCACUUCUGGUAUCACAGAAAUAGAGGAUUUAUUUGACAUUAAAUAAUUGCAACAAAUCCAAAUACAGUGAGAGGCGUAUAUUACAAGAGAAGUUAAGAGCUUUACAAGAAACAUGAAGCAUGCCCAUUAUGAAGAGCUUUCUGUAUAGGAUUUGUAAUGGUAUAUUCAUGUUAAAACGAGUUCAGUAUGUUUUUAGUGGAAAAAAUAGUUCAUGUUACAGACAAAAAUAAAUCAACUGGGAAUUUCCUUUGUUGAAAUUAAAGUAUCUCACAAAAUUAUUAAUUGCUGUGUGUCUUCAUGGUGCUAGUGAAUUUUGCUAUGGAGAUGUAAUGUGUUAGAGGGUUUGGUAUUUCUUCUUCAGCAUUCUGACAACAGAACAGUGGCUUCUUUGCUAUUUAUCUUUUUAGAAAGAAAAAGUAAUGCUCAUCCAUUUAACCUCAGAGAUGUCUGAUGGCACUUUCUGCAAUCAGCACUGACAGUUCAAGGAUGAAAGUUUUAGGGGAUAAGAGACCUGCACUGUGCUAUAAAUCUAUUUUUUCAGUCUCAAGUGCUAUUGGACUCAGCUGGACUCAUGGGCGACUUAAAGCAAACAAAAGCCUUCAAUUUGAUAGAUGA
rnacentral:lncRNA from 1 species